UAUCCAUCACUCAGGUGAGCAGUUAAGUCAGCCACACUUGAAGAACAGGUGGGCCAAGUUCGUCUGUAAAGAGGCAACAAGCUGCAUCUUUGUCGACAGAUAGAUUAUCGACACCACUGUCACUUUAGGAAGAGAUGGGCCAGAUUAAUCUAUAAAGAAGCAACAGGACACAUCUUUGGUUGAAAGAUAUGUUAUCAAACACUGCUGCCACUUGAAGAAGAGAUGGGCCAAAUUCAUCUAUAAAGAGGCGACAGGACGCAUCUUUGACACAAGAGGACCAGCCUUCACUCACAUAAGGAUGGCUCAUGUGGUGUUUCCAUUCCGGUGUCAUGGUUG